GACGAACGCUGGCGGCGUGCUUAACACAUGCAAGUCGAACAGUAAGGCCCUUCGGGGUACACGAGUGGCGAACGGGUGAGUAACACGUGGGUGAUCUGCCCUGCACUUCGGGAUAAGCCUGGGAAACUGGGUCUAAUACCGGAUAGGACUCCUGGCUUCAUGGUUGGGGUUGGAACGCUUUUUCGGUGUGGGAUGGGCCCGCGGCCUAUCAGCUUGUUGGUGGGGUAAUGGCCUACCAAGGCGACGACGGGUAGCCGGCCUGAGAGGGUGACCGGUCACACUGGGACUGAGAUACGGCCCAGACUCCUACGGGAGGCAGCAGUGGGGAAUAUUGCACAAUGGGCGCAAGCCUGAUGCAGCGACGCCGCGUGAGGGAUGACGGCCUUCGGGUUGUAAACCUCUUUCAGCUAUGACGAAGCGCAAGUGACGGUAGUAGCAGAAGAAGGACCGGCCAACUACGUGCCAGCCGCCGCCGUAA
rnacentral:rRNA from 1 species